UCUGGUAAUGAUGGCGAAGAGGCCACACCCGUUCCCAUGCCGAACACGGAAGUUAAGCUCUU
rnacentral:rRNA from 1 species